GAUGAACGCUGGCGGCGUGCCUAAUACAUGCCAGUCGAGCGAACGGACGAGGAGCUUGCUUCUCUGACGUUAGCGGCGGACGGGUGAGUAACACGUGGAUAACCUACCUAUAAGACUGGGAUAACUUCGGGAAACCGGAGCUAAUACCGGAUAAUAUAUUGAACCGCAUGGUUCAAUAGUGAAAGACGGUUUUGCUGUCACUUAUAGAUGGAUCCGCGCUGCAUUAGCUAGUUGGUAAGGUAACGGCUUACCAAGGCAACGAUGCGUAGCCGACCUGAGAGGGUGAUCGGCCACACUGGAACUGAGACACGGUCCAGACUCCUACGGGAGGCAGCAGUAGGGAAUCUUCCGCAAUGGGCGAAAGCCUGACGGAGCAACGCCGCGUGAGUGAUGAAGGUCUUCGGAUCGUAAAACUCUGUUAUUAGGGAAGAACAAAUGUGUAAGUAACUAUGCACGUCUUGACGGUACCUAAUCAGAAAGCCACGGCUAACUACGUG
rnacentral:rRNA from 1 species